ACAUGACUACAACAUAGAGUUAAUGCACCAGAUCCAAUUAGAACUCCGUAGUUAAGUGCACCCAGGCUAGAGUAUUAUUGAGAUGGGUGACCGCCUAGGAAGUCCUAGUGUUUUACAUGCC
rnacentral:rRNA from 1 species